rnacentral:rRNA from 1 species
CUUUAUUAUUAAUUUAGAUUUAUUGGUCUUUAGUUAAUUUAUUAAUAUAUUAUAUUAAAUGUAAAUUUAUAGGUAAUUAUGAUUAAAUUAGUAUAAUUUUAAUGUUAAAUUAAUUGUAUUUUUAAGAUAAAAUUAAGGAAUUCGGCAAAUUUGUUUUCUGCCUGUUUAUUAAAAACAUGUCUUUUUGUGAUUAUUUGAAGUCGGGCCUGCCCUAUGAUUAUUUAAAUGGCCGCGGUAUUUUGACCGUGCAAAGGUAGCAUAAUAAUUAGUUUCUUAAUUAGAAGCUGGUAUGAAUGGUUUGACAAGAAAAUUUCUGUCUCUAUUUUAUUAUUAGAAUUUAACUUUUGAGUCAAAAGGCUUAAAUGUUUUUAAAAGACGAGAAGACCCUAUAGAAUUUUAUAUUAAAUUUAAUUAAAAUUUUAUGGGUUAUUUAUUUUUAAUUAAGUUUGGUAUUUUGUUGGGGUGAUGGAAAAACUUAAAUAACUUUUUCUAAUUAUAUUCAUUAAUUUAUGA